rnacentral:rRNA from 1 species
AGCUCCAAUAGCGUAUAUUAAAGUUGUUGCGGUUAAAAAGCUCGUAGUUGGAUUUCUGUCGGUGAGUGGGAGUCCGCCCUCAGUGGUGGGUACUUUUCACGCCACCGGCAUCUUCCUGGGGACUGUGUCUGCUCUUUGUUGAGUGGCGCAUAAUCCAGGACUUUUACUUUGAAGAAAUAGGAGUGUUUCAAGCAGGCAAUCGCCAUGAACACGUUAGCAUGGAAUAAUAGCAUCGGACCUCGUUCCAAAGCUGUUGGUUUCUUGGGACGAGGUAAAGGUGAAUAGGGAUUGUUGGGGGCAUUCGUAUUUAACUGUCAGAGGUGAAAUUCUUGGAUUUGUUGAAGACGGACUACUGCGAAAGCAUCUGCCAAAGAUGUUCUCAUUGAUCAAGAACGAAAGU